AAUAUUGCACAAUGGCGUAAACUCUGAUGCAUCGACGCCGCGUGAAUGAUGAAGGCUUUCGAGUCGUAAAAUUCUGUCCUAUGGGACGAUAAUGACGGUACCAUAGGAGGAAGCCCCGGCUAACUACGUGCCAGCAGCCGCGGUAAUACGUAGGGGGCGAACGUUGUCCGGAAUUAUUGGGCGUAAAGGGUACGCAGGCGGCCAAAUAAGUCAGAUGUGAAAUACCAAGGGUUAACCUUGGUAAGCAUUUGAAACUGUAUGGCUUGAGUUAAGGAGAGGAAAGUGGAAUUCCUGGUGUAGCGGUGAAAUGCGUAGAUAUCAGGAGGAAUACCAGUGGCGAAGGCGACUUUCUGGACUUAAACGGACGCUGAGGUACGAAAGCGUGGGGAGCAAACA
rnacentral:rRNA from 1 species